rnacentral:lncRNA from 1 species
GGUCAAAUCUGUGUGGCGGUGGGGGUGGCGGACGGUGAAAUUGCACUCUAACAGACGCAAGCUUCGGAAUAGUCUGAGUAGAUCGGCCCAAAAGCGCCUAGAUGGACACAAAGGUUUGGAGUCAUCGUGUUAGUUCAGAAUUUUUUUCAGAAAGUUUUUGGUGUCGUACAAGAGUGCAAGGAUGAUGGGAUGACUGCAGUGCGUGGCAACAUGAAAAAUGUAGAUAAAACAGUGUUGGUCAGAUGGAUAUUCAAUCUCUGCACCCCUGAAAAUACAGAGAACAUAUUCAUAUUCUGGCCGUUUUGAAAUAGUUCAGAUGUGUAUGUUGUCUGUUGCAUAUAUGCAGUUCAGUAAAAAUGCUGAUUCAUUCUUGAACGGAACUAUUUAGUAGCAACCUGUCCGGACCGUGGGGAAGCUCCAGAACAAGCUGGUCGACCAACUUGAUGCAAGAACUGUGGAGUAGAGGGUCAGCGACGAAACAAAUGAAACAAAGCAGCGGAGCUAAGACUGAAAAGGGACUGAAAAAUGAUGCAUGGUUGACGUAAAACAAAAUGCAGGGGAACCAAUGGAGCUAAGGCUAGAGAGCAGCUGAAAUUUAGUUAUCCUUUACUGCAAUGUCAAUUUGAUGGCGUGUAUAAUUAGCAGGAGUGGUGCAAACAUACUGUAACAUGUGUGAGCAUCAUGCAAAUCCGUUUGCGCUGAAUAAACCUCGACUUUUAUAUAGUGUAACAUCGACCUGACUUCUGUGUGAGAUGCAUGAUGCAGUUUAGCUGCUCAUAUUUCUGAACAUGUUAUGCAUGCCCUGAACCAUAUGAAUAAAAUGCAAGGACUCCUUUCCCUUCUGGACGCCCAGGUUUUAGUUAACCUUUUUUUUGAAGUUUCACUUUGCUGGCGUGUAUGAUCAGAAGUGGCGGAUCAAAAAUACCGUGAUCUAU